GGGGAAUCUUGCGCAAUGGGCGAAAGCCUGACGCAGCCAUGCCGCGUGAAUGAUGAAGGUCUUAGGAUUGUAAAAUUCUUUCACCGGGGACGAUAAUGACGGUACCCGGAGAAGAAGCCCCGGCUAACUUCGUGCCAGCAGCCGCGGUAAUACGAAGGGGGCUAGCGUUGCUCGGAAUUACUGGGCGUAAAGGGAGCGUAGGCGGACAUUUAAGUCAGGGGUGAAAUCCCGGGGCUCAACCUCGGAAUUGCCUUUGAUACUGGGUGUCUUGAGUGUGAGAGAGGUAUGUGGAACUCCGAGUGUAGAGGUGAAAUUCGUAGAUAUUCGGAAGAACACCAGUGGCGAAGGCGACAUACUGGCUCAUUACUGACGCUGAGGCUCGAAAGCGUGGGGAGCAAAC
rnacentral:rRNA from 1 species